GUAGGGAAUCUUCCGCAAUGGACGAAAGUCUGACGGAGCAACGCCGCGUGAGUGAAGAAGGUUUUCGGAUCGUAAAACUCUGUUGUUAGAGAAGAACAAGGAUGAGAGUAACUGCUCGUCCCUUGACGGUAUCUAACCAGAAAGCCAUGGCUAACUACGUGCCAGCAGCCGCGGUAAUACGUAGAUGGCAAGCGUUGUCCGGAUUUAUUGGGCGUAAAGCGAGCGCAGGCGGUUCUUUAAGUCUGAUGUGAAAGCCCCUGGCUCAACCAGGGAGGGUCAUUGGAAACUGGAGAACUUGAGUGCAGAAGAGGAAAGUGGAAUUCCAUGUGUAGCGGUGAAAUGCGUAGAUAUAUGGAGGAACACCAGUGGCGAAGGCGACUUUCUGGUCUGUAACUGACGCUGAGGCUCGAAAGCAUGGGGAGCAAACAGGAUUAGAUACCCUAGUAGUCC
rnacentral:rRNA from 1 species